rnacentral:rRNA from 1 species
AUUGAACGCUGGCGGCAUGCCUUACACAUGCAAGUCGAACGGCAGCACGGGUGCUUGCACCUGGUGGCGAGUGGCGAACGGGUGAGUAAUAUAUCGGAACGUACCUUAUUGUGGGGGAUAACGCAGCGAAAGCUGUGCUAAUACCGCAUAAUCCCUAAGGGGGAAAGCGGGGGACCGUAAGGCCUCGCGCAAUUAGAGCGGCCGAUACCUGAUUAGCUAGUUGGUGGGGUAGAGGCUCACCAAGGCAACGAUCAGUAGCUGGUCUGAGAGGACGAUCAGCCACACUGGGACUGAGACACGGCCCAGACUCCUACGGGAGGCAGCAGUGGGGAAUUUUGGACAAUGGGGGCAACCCUGAUCCAGCAAUGCCGCGUGAGUGAAGAAGGCCUUCGGGUUGUAAAGCUCUUUUGUCAGGGAAGAAACAGCAGCUCUAACACAGUAUGCGAAUGACGGUACCUGAAGAAUAAGCACCGGCUAACUACGUGCCAGCAGCCGCCGUAA